rnacentral:rRNA from 1 species
UACGAAGGGGGCUAGCGUUGUUCGGAAUUACUGGGCGUAAAGCGCGUGUAGGCGGCUUUGCAAGUCGGAUGUGAAAUCCCACGGCUCAACCGUGGAAGUGCAUUCGAAACUGCAAGGCUAGAGUUCUGGAGAGGAAGGUGGAAUGCUUGGUGUAGAGGUGAAAUUCGUAGAUAUCAAGCGGAACACCGGUGGCGAAGGCGGCCUUCUGGACAGUAACUGACGCUGAGACGCGAAAGCGUGGGGAGCAAACAGG